GAUGAACGCUGGCGGCGUGCCUAAUACAUGCGAGUCGAGCGAACAGAUGAGGAGCUUGCUCCUCUGACGUUAGCGGCGGACGGGUGAGUAACACGUGGAUAACCUACCUAUAAGUCUGGGAUAACUUCGGGAAACCGGAGCUAAUACCGGAUAAUAUAUUGAACCGCAUGGUUCAAUAGUGAAAGACGGCUUUGCUGUCACUUCUAGAUGGAUCCGCGCCGCAUUAGCUUGUUGGUAAGGUAACGGCUUACCAAGGCAACGAUGCGUAGCCGACCUGAGAGGGUGAUCGGCCACACUGGAACUGAGACACGGUCCAGACUCCUACGGGAGGCAGCAGUAGGGAAUCUUCCGCAAUGGGCGAAAGCCUGACGGAGCAACGCCGCGUGAGUGAUGAAGGUCUUCGGAUCGUAAAACUCUGUUAUUAGGGAAGAACAAAUGUGUAAGUAACUAUGCACGUCUUGACGGUACCUAAUCAGAAAGCCACGGCUAACUACGUG
rnacentral:rRNA from 1 species